UUUUCAUGCCCCAAAUAAUCUUUUUUUCAACCGCCAUCGUUGUUAUGAUUUUUUAAAAGGAUGCACGUUACCUAUAUGUACAAUUUAAUACGCAAAAGUAAUAACUAGGUAAUUAUCAUAAUAGUUUAAUUCUAGAGUAAUCCAAAACAAAACAGGAGUUAUCUGUGUAUAUUGUAUUGUAUUGUGUAUCUAUGUAUAUUAUAGAAGCUAGCCUGGUACAUACUAAACACUGCACUUUAGUGAAAAACAACAUAUUUCUAGGUAGUACCUAUGCAGAUAAACAUUCCUAGUUUUUGUUAAACUAAUGAGUUUAGUAAAUUACCGACUUCAUUAACCAUGACGGCGAUGUACUAUAUAAAGGUGCAUCCGCAUGACCGAAUUGUGAAUUGUCUUCAGGAACCAUAACAGAAACCCAAAAUGAAAUUGUUUGCAUUGAUCGCUCUGCUGUUAUGCGCAAUACUGGCUGGUGCGCACGUUGUCUAUGCUGCGGCCGAUCCUGAUCAGCCAGCAUUAGUAAGAGAAGCUCGCAGCCCAACUAAAGGCAAGAUCUACAAAGGCCAUGGAUACGGACACGGGUAGAGAGAACAGCAUUUGGGCCUACACAUUAUAAUAUAUUAUGAACUACGUAAUAAGGGGCUGGUAGUUGAAACUAUCUUUUAAUAUGUAAAACGUUAAUUUCUUUUAUGUUAUAAAUGUCUUGGGAAUAAAAUGUUAGCAAAAUA